ACUGAGGAGAUUAGAGGCAGAAUUUUUAAUGUAGUGUUAGUAUUAGCAGCUGGAGAGCAAAAGAAUUUUUAAUAGUCAAACAGGAAUACCAAGGUAAGUGCAAGCUAGACUGGAGAUCCUAAGCAACUAACUCCUGCUCUGGACCAGCUAAGGACCAGCACAUAAUCAGCUUAAACCAGCUCAUUAACAGUUAACUCUUCUGUGCUGAGGGACACGUUAGAGGCAUUUCACCCGAUGGUUAAUCGAUCAGCGUCUCCUCAGUCCUCAUUCAAUCCAUCACGUGCUUGAACGCGUCCAACCAGCUGUUCAAACACUCUAAACCUGGUAAA